GGACGUAGUUCAGCAGCCAUUAAGGGGUUAAUUAUCCAUCCUGGUGUCAUUGAUCCUGACUAUAAGGGAGAGGUUAAGAUCAUGGUUUCCUCCCCCAGAGAGAUGUCUGCCAUUUCCCCGGGAGAUAGAAUUGCUCAAAUUUUGCUUUUGCCUAGUCACCAUGCUAGCUUCCCUUCAAGUGGACUGAAAAGAGGAAAUUGGGGCUUUGGCUCCACUGAAAUACAAAUUUGAAAGCUGGUAUCCUUAUGGUUAAUCAAAGAGUGGAUUGGUUGCAGGAACAGAUGAAUAUUUUGGAGCAGUUAGUAUUUGCUUCCUGUAUUACUCAUAUGGCAGGAAUGUGUGUAACCUCUGUUCAGUAUCAGAAUUUUCCAGAGCUGCAAAUCUGUUGCGUGCAAUUGGUGCGAUGCUGCUAGGAAAUUGGAGUCAUGAUCUCGACACAAAGAUGAAGGAAUUGCGAGCAUCGAUUGUUGCCAUGAACAACACCUGUGUGGAGAUUGCAACUGCAAAGCAAUGGCUGGAGAUCAUCCAGGGAACUGUGGGAUUCUUAAAAAAUUGGGGAGGGAUGGCCUUUUGAGCGUUCCUGUUGACUGUUGUGUGUGUAGGAAUGCUUUGGUGGAUGGCACGUAUGCGAAGGUGGCACAGGGCUGAUAUGCUUAGUGCAGGCUAUGGCAGCCUUGGAAGCAGGAACAUCCCCCCAAUGUUGGCUCAACAUGCUGAAUCAGUAAUCAAUGACAGGUAAGACCCUCACGUGCGCAUACCAACCUAAGACAGGAUGGCGAAAGUGAGUUUGUCACUCCCAUAACAGGUAAGGAUGUGGCACAGAUGGGGGCAACCUAAGACAGAUGCUGAUCCCAGAGCUACUACUAAAACAAAAAGGGGGAGAUGCGGGAAGCGGGUGCGGCCGCAUGGGCCAAGAUGGCACUCUGGCCCAUUGCCAGGCCCGGUGAACCCCAUAUGUUUACUGCCUUGCCCAAGCAUGCGCAGUGAAAAAGCAUGAAUAUUCCUCGUGACCCGGAUCUGUCAGCCUAUCUGUGACUGACCUGAGCUCGUGCCUGGAGCAUGUGUGAUUCUGAUUGGAUGAGGUGGUGUGGAGCGAGAUGAGGUCAGUUGCUGCGAAUAUAGGAGAAUGGCGCUUGCUGCAAGAAGGACAGGGGGAAGAAGCUGCUGGGGGAGAGAGCUGGAAGUGAAAAAGCUGCUGCGUGAACCCGCCUUGGUGUCCGUGUUGUUCUUGUCUCUGCGGAUCGGAGACUGUGGCAGUUCAGCCUUUGUGGCAAGCCUCUUUUCUCCUAUUCCCUGAGCAGGCUCGUCAGCUGUCUUUAUUUAGUUUUUUGAGCUGCAGCUAGAGGCAGGAUGUAAAGAAGCAUGAAGAAGGUUUGAGGCUUUCAUCGCAAUGUUCCAUUACCCCAGGGAGACAGCCAAAUUGAAGGAGACAGAGUGUUUUCUCUCCUCUGAAAGCGGGGGCUCUUCAGAAUUUCAUUUUGCAAACAUCCAUGAGAGAGAGCA
rnacentral:lncRNA from 1 species